CAACCUUUAUUCCCUUAAAUCCUAACUUAUUUUUCCCCAAAUCAUCAUCUCUUUUUAGCUUUUACUCUCACCUAUUUCAAAGAACCAAGCUUCCCCGCUACGAUUGGUCGGGGCUAAUUCUUGAAAGCAGCAACUCCUACACCUACCACUACUUUAACAGAACAACUAUCGAUUCUCCCCAAUUCCUUUUUAUUUCAAGAUUUUAGAUUCAAGUUACAAGCUCGGGGAUCGUCAGCAAAGUUCAUCACACUAUCCACUGCUUCGGUAUUUUUAUAGUUGAACUUGAACUACGGCAUGUAUAGGCUGGAAUAUACUUUUUAAAUGUUGGAUUUUGGUUUGUAUGUAUAUAAGCCAUGCGAAAAUGGCUUGUUUAUUCAUGAUAAAUUUGGUUUUAAGUUUUGAAUAUGCUAUGGACAUGUUUGAUUGUGGUUUUGAUGUUGCGACUAUUAUAUGUGUUUAUAUGUGAACCAUGGUUAAAAUAUUGUUAAUGUUGAUAAAGUUAUGCCAAAGUAUAUGUGAUUGAUAUAA